GGGAGGAAAAGAAACCAACAGGGAUUGCCUUAGUAGCGGCGAGUGAAGCGGCAAAAGCUCAAAUUUGAAAUCUGGCGCCUUCGGUGUCCGAGUUGUAAUUUGAAGAUUGUAACCUUGGGGUUGGCUCUUGUCUAUGUUUCUUGGAACAGGACGUCACAGAGGGUGAGAAUCCCGUGCGAUGAGAUGCCCAAUUCUAUGUAAGGUGCUUUCGAAGAGUCGAGUUGUUUGGGAAUGCAGCUCUAAGUGGGUGGUAAAUUCCAUCUAAAGCUAAAUAUUGGCGAGAGACCGAUAGCGAACAAGUACAGUGAUGGAAAGAUGAAAAGAACUUUGAAAAGAGAGUGAAAAAGUACGUGAAAUUGUUGAAAGGGAAGGGUUUGAGAUCAGACUCGAUAUUUUGUGAGCCUUGCCUUCGUGGCGGGGUGACCCGCAGCUUAUCGGGCCAGCAUCGGUUUGGGCGGUAGGAUAAUGGCGUAGGAAUGUGACUUUACUUCGGUGAAGUGUUAUAGCCUGCGUUGAUGCUGCCUGCCUAGACCGAGGACUGCGAUUUUAUCAAGGAUGCUGGCAUAAUGAUCCCA
rnacentral:rRNA from 1 species